rnacentral:rRNA from 1 species
CAGCAGCGCGGUAAUACGAAGGGUGCGAGCGUUAAUCGGAAUUACUGGGCGUAAAGCGCGCGUAGGUGGCUUGAUAAGCCGGUUGUGAAAGCCCCGGGCUCAACCUGGGAACGGCAUCCGGAACUGUCAAGCUAGAGUGCAGGAGAGGAAGGUAGAAUUCCCGGUGUAGCGGUGAAAUGCGUAGAGAUCGGGAGGAAUACCAGUGGCGAAGGCGGCCUUCUGGACUGACACUGACACUGAGGUGCGAAAGCGUGGGUAGCAAACAGGAUUAGAUACCCUGGUAGUCCACGCCGUAAACGAUGUCGACCAGCCGUUGGGUGCCUAGCGCACUUUGUGGCGAAGUUAACGCGAUAAGUCGACCGCCUGGGGAGUACGGCCGCAAGGUUAAAACUCAAAUGAAUUGACGGGGGCCCGCACAAGCGGUGGAGCAUGUGGUUUAAUUCGAUGCAACGCGAAGAACCUUACCUACUCUUGACAUCCUGCGAACUUGUGAGAGAUCCCUUGGUGCCUUCGGGAACGCAGAGACAGGUGCUGCAUGGCUGUCGUCAGCUCGUGUUGUGAAAUGUUGGGUUAAGUCCCGUAACGAGCGCAACCCUUGUCCUUAUUUGCCAGCGCGUAAAGGCGGGAACUCUAAGGAGACUGCCGGUGACAAACCGGAGGAAGGUGGGGACGACGUCAAGUCAUCAUGGCCCUUACGAGUAGGGCUACACACGUGCUACAAUGGUCGGUACAAAGGGUUGCCAACUCGCGAGAGUGAGCCAAUCCCGAAAAGCCGAUCUCAGUCCGGAUCGGAGUCUGCAACUCGACUCCGUGAAGUCGGAAUCGCUAGUAAUCGUGGAUCAGAAUGCCACGGUGAAUACGUUCCCGGGCCUUGUACACACCGCCCGUCACACCAUGGGAGUGGACUGCACCAGAAGUGGUUAGCCUAACGCAAGAGGGCGAUCACCACGGUGUGGUUCAUGACUGGGGGAAGUCG